rnacentral:rRNA from 1 species
GACGAACGCUGGCGGCGUGCUUAACACAUGCAAGUCGAACGAAGUGGCGAACGGGUGAGUAAUACGUGAGUAACCUGCCCUCCUUUUUGGGAUAAGCCUUGGCAACGGGGUCUAAUACCUCAUCAAGUGGGAUGGGCUCGCGGCCUCUCAGCUUGUUGGUGGGGUGAUGGCCUAAAAAGGCGGUGACGGGUAGCCGGCCUGAGAGGGUGACCUGGCAAAUUGGGACGGGGAUACGGCCCAGACGGCUACGGGAGGAAGCAGUGGGGGAUAUUGCACAAUGGGCGAAAGCAUGAGGCAGGGACGCGGCGUGGGGGAUGAAGGCUUUCGGGUUGUAAACCUAUUUCGAUAACGAACGGGUAGGUGGAGAAGAAGCGCCGGCUAACUACGUGCCAGCAGCCGCGGUAAUAC